AUACGGAGGGUGCAAGCGUUAAUCGGAAUUACUGGGCGUAAAGCGCACGCAGGCGGUUUGUUAAGUCAGAUGUGAAAUCCCCGGGCUCAACCUGGGAACUGCAUCUGAUACUGGCAAGCUUGAGUAUCGUAGAGGGGGGUAGAAUUCCAGGUGUAGAGGUGAAAUGCGUAGAGAUCUGGAGGAAUACCGGUGGCGAAGGCGGCCCCCUGGACGAAGACUGACGCUCAGGUGCGAAAGCGUGGGGAGCAAACAGGAUUAGAUACCCUGGUAGUCCACGCCGUAAACGAUGUCGACUUGGAGGUUGUGCCCUUGAGGCGUGGCUUCCGGAGCUAACGCGUUAAGUCGACCGCCUGGGGAGUACGGCCGCAAGGUUAAAACUCAAAUGAAUUGACGGG
rnacentral:rRNA from 1 species